rnacentral:sRNA from 1 species
GAUCUUGACCAUUUUCAAGUUAUUUGUGCACUUGCUAUUUGAGGGGGGUCAGGACCAACCCCAGGGCCCAUGACUUGCAUACCAUUUGAUGCCCCUUGACACAAGGAGCAAGACUAUAUAUGGUUUAGGGGUUGGGAUCUUGACCAUUUUUAAGUUACGGUAUUUGUGCACUUCCUGUUUGAGGGGGGGGGGGGGGGGGUCAGGACCUACAUACCACUUGAUUCCCCUUUACACAUGGAACAAGAAUAUAUAUUGUUUAGGGGUCAGGAUUCUAACAGUUUCUGAGGUAUAUGGUCAUUUCCAAUUCCUUUGGGGUUGGGAUGACCCCAGGAGU